rnacentral:lncRNA from 1 species
UUUUAAUUUAUUAUUAAUUUACAUCUCAUGCAAACCAUCGCAUCACAUGCAUACAUACAGCACAUAUAAAAAUAACUACCGGUGAUGAUCAUGAAUUUUAUCUUGAUUCGGGCCUGAGCCACUAGGCCGGAAUCGGAUCAUAAGGGUAUUACAUACAAGAAAGCCUUUUCUUAUUCUGCGUCUUGAUCGGAUUGGAGUUGAUCAACUCUUGUCUUCUCCCUUAAUCAGCAUCUGGUCCAAAUGUGAUCCGCAUCGCAUCAACUCUUGAAUACAACGAAUCCCUCUGGAACCUAAACUAUCUUUUUCCUUAUUAAUUUUACAACAAUAACUUUACAACUCAUAAAAUUAAUGAGACACGCAGGUCUCCAAAUUAUAUAAUUUAAUUGAUAUAUGCAGGCACCUAACAAAAAAUAAUCUAAUACUGAGUUCUUAUUAAAUUACAACAAUUCAAAUCAUCACAUGAUACAUGCACAUCACAAUAUCGCUAUCCAUGAUCAUCACUCAUAUACAUCACAUGCAUAUAAUAUUAAAUUAUCUAAUUCGAAUUCUAAUUAAUUGGCUUUCGGAUUAAUUUAAAAAUAAAUCUUUAUUUGUUUCAAGAAUCAAAAUUCAUUCUUAAAAUUAUUAAAA